rnacentral:rRNA from 1 species
GUAGGGUGCAAGCGCUAAUCGGAAUUACUGGGCGUAAAGCGUGCGCAGGCGGUUGUGCAAGACAGAUGUGAAAUCCCCGGGCUUAACCUGGGAAUUGCAUUUGUGACUGCACGGCUAGAAUCUGGCAGAGGGGGGUAGAAUUCCACGUGUAGCAGUGAAAUGCGUAGAGAUGUGGAGGAAUACCGAUGGCGAAAGCAGCCCCCUGGGCUAAGAUUGACGCUCAUGCACGAAAGCGUGGGGAGCAACCAGGAUUAGAUACCCUGGUAGUCCACGCCCUAAACGAUGUCUACUAGUUGUCGGGUCUUAAUUGACUUGGUAACGCAGCUAACGCGUGAAGUAGACCGCCUGGGGAGUACGGUCGCAAGAUUA